GGACUGGGAAAUUUUCAAUCUGGUCAUCAAGCGACACUUACAAAAAUCUCAAAGCAGGGAAAACAAAAGGAAACCAAAGAAGAAAGAUAGCGGAAAAAAAAGAUGCAGAAACUGAUAUUGAUACAAUCGUUAUAUCGUUCCAUAUGUCGUAGAUCUUCAGCUUUCUCGAUUUCCGCCGCCGCAACUACCGCCGUCAACCACCACUCCCAUCGACACCUUCAUUUCUCAUCCCCUAAUUUUCCAGCUUCUCCUAAAAGCCCUUUUCACGAAUUGCGGCAUCCUUUGACAAUAGCAAUCGGAAGCACACGUUCUUUCUGUGAGGAUUCAGCCCACAUGCCUGACAUAAAAGAUCCAGAGGUCAAACGUGCUUUUAAGGACUUAAUGGCUUCAAGCUGGGAUGAGCUCCCAAAUGCAGUUGUUGGUGAUGCAGAGCAUGCAUUGACUAAAAAUACUGAUGACAAGGAAGGCCAAGAAGCCCUGAUUAAUGUUUUCCGUGCAGCAGAAGCAGUGGAGGACUUUACUGGGAUUCUCACGUCUCUGAAAAUGGAGCUUGAUGAUGCAAUUGGCUUAAGUGGUGAGAAUGUGAAGCCUAUGUCAAAAGAGCUCUCUGAUGCAUUUCACACGGUAUACCAACGUUACAUCACCUACUUGAGUGCUUUUGGGUCAGAGGAGGGGUACUUGAAGAAGAAAGUUGAGAUGGAACUGGGAACAAAGAUGAUACACUUGAAGAUGAGAUGCAGUGGCCUUGAUUCUCAAUGGGGAAAGGUUACAGUUCUUGGGACUUCGGGACUUGCUGGUUCCUAUGUUGAGCAGAGAGCAUAGACCUUCACAGAUGGCUGAAAGUUGGGAGUGUUUCGUCUUUAAGUUACUUGUGUAACAUUUUCCUGGAAAGAGAAAAAGAAAUUUUUUGAUAAUACAGGCUGCAUCAAUUUGAUCCAUUAAACUGCAUUGUUCUUUCGUAAGUUAUGAUGAUGUGAUAGCAGGAAUACGCAGAUGAUACUAUUAUUCAAGGAGAUAGUUUCCGGAGCAUUCAGUAUUCAGAAGAUAGGGUUUUAUGUCAAUCGAUUCCUGUUGACUGGUGAAUCAGGUAUUAUUGCAGGUCAAUUGAUUGGAAAAUUGGGUACUCAAUUAACAUUAUGAACUUUUCAUAUCAGAGGAGUAUUUCGGGGGGUGCUGCAGAAUAUGUGCAAGCCCCGUCUAACGAAAAAAUAAAAUUCAAUGAGGAUUUUGGUUCAUUUGAAAGGAAUAUCCACUUUGAGUUUUAAAGAGAAGGCUCGAAAACAUAUUUAUUCUGAUUCAGACGGAGAAAUGCAUUGGAGUACUAGUGAUAUGUACCCGAAUUAAAUGAAUAUUACUAGAAGGGUUGUGCGGGUCCAGUCUAGUCUACCUUUUGAUUCACAAGGAUCAUGAUCCAAUUAAUGCGCAUUCUCUUUCUGGCAAGCAAAGAUAUACUUCUAACUUCUCAGUAACCAAUGAUCAGGUCCGUAUAAUCUCAUAUAUUCACCUAUUCUCCACGAGAAUUCUAAUUUAUUGUCAAAAAGGCAAAAAAAGAAAUUCGUCAUUCCACUACACUCGAUUCAAGAACUCAAGAAUGAACUAAUGCCUUGUUCAGGUAUCUCGAUUGAAAUCCCCAUAAAUAGUAUUUUUCGUCGAAAUAGCAUUCUUGCUUUAUUUCAAUGAUCUUCAAUACCGAAGAAACAGUUGAGGCAUUAUUAGAUAUGAGACUAUAAAAAUGCAUUCAGUCAUAAAAAAGGAUGAUUUGAUUGAGUAUCGAGGAGUUAAGGAAUUUAGGCCAAAAUACCAAAUGAAAGUAGAUCGAUUUUUUUUUUUCAUCCCUGAAAAGGUGCAUAUCUUGCCCGGAUCUUUUCCAUAAUGGUGCAGAACAGUAGUAUCAUUGGGGUAGAUAGACAAAUCACCUUAAAACGAAAAGGCUGAGUCGGUGGGUUGGUCCGGGUGGAGAGGGAAAAAAAAUUUAAAUUGAAUGUAAAAUCUUUUCUAGAGAUAUCCAUUUUUCUGAAAAGAUGGAUAAGAUAUCCCGACAUAACGACGUUUUGAUAUCACCAGGAAAAAGAAAUUUCAGGGAAUCCAAAAAGGUGAAAAAUUGGAUCUAUGUCCAAUGGAUUACACCUCGCAAGAAAGAGUUUUUUGUUUUAGUUAGACUUGUCGUCAUAUAUGUAAUAACGGAUGGUAUAAAUUUAGCAACUCUUUUUUCACUGCUUCCAUUGCAGGAAAGGGGUAAUGUGCAACUUCCAAUAGUCAAUUAUAUCCUUUAUUGAAAUGGCAAACCGAUUUGAGAAAUUUCUGACACAUAUAUUUAAUUAGUUCGGACUUAUUUAGUAUUGAAUUGGAACCAAGACAAAAAAAGUUCUUCUUGCAAAGAAGCAUGUGCUUUUUUUGUUGAAAUAAGAACAAAUGUUUUGAUUUGAUAUUUUCUAAGAAUUAACUUAGUGAAAUCCCAUAUUUCAUAUAUUGAGAAAAUGAGUGAUCCGUCAGGGUCAGGAUUUUUCUCCGAUAAUGAUCAGAUUGUACCAAUAUCAGCCCUUUUUCUUCCAUUUAUUCCUAAUCCAAGGGAAAAAUUCAACAAUCUCUUAACCAACCUCAAGGAACUAUUCAUACACUAUUAAGUAGAAAUAUGGAAUGUCAGUCGUUGAUAAUUUUGUCAGCAACCAAUUCUUCUCGAAUGGGGCCGUUCAAGGAUGUAAAAUAUCACAGUGUAAUUAAAGAAUCAAUUAAAAAAGAUCCUCUAAUUCCAAUUAGGAAUUCAUUGGGCCCUUUAGGAACAUCCCUUCCAAUUGAUAAUUCUAAUUCAUCUUACCAUUUAAUAACUCAUAAUGAGAUAUUAUAACUAACCAUUUGCAAUGACAAUUUAAAAUAGACUUUUCAAGUGAUUAAAUUUAAAUAUUAUUUAAUGGAUGAAUAUAUAAUUUUUUUAAUCCGGUCCAUGUUGUAACACUAUUUUUGAUCCAUUCAAUUUGAAUUGGUAUUUUUUCCAUCACAAUUAUUGUGAAGAGAUAUCUCUAAUAAUUAGUCUUCGACAGUUUAUUUGCGCAAAUGUAUGUACAGCCAAAAAUGGACCGCCCCUCAAACCGAGUCAAGUUAUACUUGUUCAAGUUGACUCGAUAGUAAUAUGAUCAGCUAAGCCUGCCAUUAUGGGGAAUUCUUUGGAAGGAGAUACAUUAGUUACAUUUAUAUGUGAAAAAUCGAGAUUUGGUGAUAUAACAUAGCGUCUUCCAAAAGUAGAACAUGUGUUAGAAGUGUGUUCGAUUGAUUCAAUAUCCAUGAAUCUAGAAAAGAAGAUUGAGGAUUGGAAGAAAUGUAUAACAAGAAUUCUUGGAAUUCCUUGGGGUCAAAUCUGCUUGGUUAAUAAAAUCCAACAGGUUUAUUGCUCUCAGAGGGUGCAGAUUCAUAAUAGGAAUAUAGAAGUUAUUGUUGUCAAAUAACAUUAAAAGUGUUGGUUUGAGAAGAUGGAAUGAUAUUAAAAAAGCUGUUCUCAAUUAUGCAAAGAUUGUACCAUUAUCAAAUGACAUAAUUCAUGCAUAAACCUAAGAUCAGCAUCCUUUCUCCAUAGAAAAUGCAAAGUUACUUUGCCUACUAGAGAUAACUGAUUUAAAAUGCCAGCAAUCAAUGCAUCUUAACCGUUCCAGCACUCUUGCGCCAUGACCAAGAAUCAGAUGGUGAUUUUGGCAAAGGUGGAAGUAACAAGGCUUUUCGGUAUAGGCCAAAUGGCCAUCCUUCACAGUGAGAGAAGUCCUGAAUAACGGAAUGCCUCCAGAGAUCUUGGAAGUCAAUCCUGUCUAAGCUUGAAGAAGGAGAAAAGAUUGUUUUAGCUGUGACAAAUGCCUCAAAACUUGUAGAACUUGAGCAGGGAGAAAGACGACUAGCAACAGAGUAAAAAUCUUCGCUUUCUUCCUUUUCUUGAUCCUCAUUGUCCUCCUUUUGCCUUAGUCUUGCAGAGAUGAAUAAAUCUCCUGUUGUUGGAGAGAAAGCCCAGGUGAACUUUUCAGUUGAGAUGUUUGUCUUUCUUCUGCAUUUCAACUCCAUGUAUUUACUUAUCACUGCUGAUAUAAAUACCUGCUGAUAAAACCGCGAAACAGCAUUCAGAAAAUAUGAGUAAAUCAGAAGUUAAUAGCAUUGAACUUAGAAGAAUUACAUGGCUGCUUUAAAUAAGUACUUCAUCUUCAUUAUCAUAGUCGCAAAUCGGAUCAUCUUCUUCUGCACUUGAAUGUGAACUUUUACUAAAGGAAUGGCAGUUGGAAAAUGCAUCCUUAAGGGUUGAGCCAAGGAAUUUGAAUCUCUUGGAAGUAUUUGAAGAGUAUUGAUUAAAAGAGAAUACCAUGCUUUUAGAAGAGCUGCUGAAAUUUCUUGAUAAGAGUUGGUGAAGACUUCAGCAGAGGAACCGGAAAGGUAUUUCUGAAGCGAAAGCAAUGGACAUUUUAUUUCUUAUUGCAUACAGCUAUACAAGUAACUUGGUGUUUCCUUGUCAUGGGCAAGAUGCUAAAUUUGUGGUGAAUUGCUUUCACUUCAGCCUGAAGUUGAGGGUGAAAAAGGACAUGGUACCAAACAAUGACCACUUGCAGAUCCACUCGUAUUUCUUGACUGAAAUACAGUAGUGUAAGAAAAUUUUCGUCUUAUCAUUGAACCAGAUAUGUCUACACAAAAGGGUUUAUGCAACUUUGCAAAAAUGUUUGUCUGGUUAAAAGACUAUUUGACAUGGAUAUUAAACUCAA